ACGCUGGCGGCAGGCCUAACACAUGCAAGUCGAACGGCAGCACAGCAGUAGCAAUACUGUGGGUGGCGAGUGGCGGACGGGUGAGGAAUACAUCGGAAUCUGCCCAGUCGUGGGGGACAACCAGCCGAAAGGUUGGCUAAUACCGCAUGCGACCGGAAGGUGAAAGCGGGGGACCCCUUAAAAGGCCUCGCGCGAUUGGAUGAGCCGAUGUCGGAUUAGCUAGUUGGUAGGGUAAAGGCCUACCAAGGCGACGAUCCGUAGCUGGUCUGAGAGGAUGAUCAGCCACACUGGAACUGAGACACGGUCCAGACUCCUACGGGAGGCAGCAGUGGGGAAUAUUGGACAAUGGGCGCAAGCCUGAUCCAGCAAUGCCGCGUGUGUGAAGAAGGCCUUCGGGUUGUAAAGCCCUUUUGUCCGGAACGAAAAGCGCCAGGUUAAUAACCUGUCGUGCUGACGGUACCGGUUGAAUAAGCACCGGCUAACUUCGUGCCAGCAGCCGCGGUAAUACGAAGGGUGCAAGCGUUAAUCGGAAUUACUGGGCGUAAAGCGUAUGUAGGCGGAUCGUUAAGUCGGGGGUGAAAUCCCGAGGCUCAACCUCGGAACUGCCUCCGAUACUGGCGAUCUUCGAGUCCGGGAGAGGUGAGUGGAACUCCGAGUGUAGAGGUGAAAUUCGUAGAUAUUCGGAAGAACACCAGUGGCGANNNCGGCUCACUGGCCCGGUACUGACGCUGNNNUACGAAAGCGUGGGGAGCAAACAGGA
rnacentral:rRNA from 1 species